AACACAUGCAAGUCGAACGAGACCUUCGGGUCUAGUGGCGCACGGGUGCGUAACGCGUGGGAAUCUGCCCUUGGGUUCGGAAUAACUCGCCGAAAGGCGUGCUAAUACCGGAUGAUGUCGUAAGACCAAAGAUUUAUCGCCCAGGGAUGAGCCCGCGUAAGAUUAGGUAGUUGGUGAGGUAAAGGCUCACCAAGCCGACGAUCUUUAGCUGGUCUGAGAGGAUGAUCAGCCACACUGGGACUGAGACACGGCCCAGACUCCUACGGGAGGCAGCAGUGGGGAAUAUUGGACCAUGGGCGAAAGCCUGAUCCAGCAAUGCCGCGUGAGUGAUGAAGGCCUUAGGGUUGUAAAGCUCUUUUACCCGGGAUGAUAAUGACAGUACCGGGAGAAUAAGCUCCGGCUAACUCCGUGCCAGCAGCCGCGGUAAUUC
rnacentral:rRNA from 1 species